rnacentral:rRNA from 1 species
UACGUAGGUGGCAAGCGUUGUCCGGAUUUACUGGGCGUAAAGAGCGCGCAGGCGGUCGUUCAAGUCGCGUGUGAAAGCCCCCGGCUCAACUGGGGAGGGUCACGCGAUACUGAUCGACUCGAAGGCAGGAGAGGGUAGUGGAAUUCCCGGUGUAGUGGUGAAAUGCGCAGAUAUCAGGAGGAACACCGGUGGCGAAGGCGGGUCUCUGGGCCGAUACUGACGCUGAGGAGCGAAAGCGUGGGUAGCAAACAGG